AGAGGGCAAACAAAGUGGCAGUCAGGGUGUCGACAGAGAACCAGAAGAGGGUGUAAAUUAUGAGGCAGAGCAUUGGAAACAGAUGGAGGCAGUUAUAAGAAGCCAAUUGUGGGAACUCCUGUUAUGGAAUUUGAUGAAAACUGAGACUUCAUUGUCUGUGCCUGAGUCAUAUGAGAUGACUGCGGAAACCAGACGAUUGAGAAAACAGAAAUGUCUUUCCCCUACGUGAAAGAUGUCAGGGAACCAAUCACAAAAACGGAGACUUCAAGAGCGUCUUACAAGUUAAGGUGAAGUUUGAUGUAUCAAGAGGUCCAUCUAAUGGAUAAUUUAUUGGAUACCGGAAUAACAUGGCCCUUGGAGAAAAGCUUCAGCCGUGCCCUGACCUGUGUGGUUUACAGUCAACAUAAAAGUGCUUCUUAUUGCCAAAUUGGUUUGAGGAUGGCGAGAUGUAACUAAGAAGGUAAAGAAAGCUUAGGUAGUCUAUCGAGUUGUUAUUUCUUAAUGUCAAACAUUAGCAGUCUUUCUGAUAUAUUAAUUAAUCUUUGAACUUAUA